CUCCGGUUGAUCCCGCCGGACCCGACUGCUAUCAGAGUGGGACUAAGCCAUGCGAGUCGACGUAGCAAUGCGUGGCGAACGGCUCAGUAACACGUAGUCAACAUGCCCAGGGGACGUGGAUAACCUCGGGAAACUGAGAAUAAACCACGAUAGGUCAUGAUUUCUGGAAUGGAUCAUGGCUCAAAUCUACAUGGCCCCUGGAUUGGACUGCGGCCGAUCAGGCAGUUGGUGAGGUAAAGGCCCACCAAACCUAUAACCGGUACGGGCUCUGAGAGGAGAAGCCCGGAGAUGGGCACUGAGACAAGGGCCCAGGCCCUAUGGGGCGCAGCAGGCGCGAAACCUCUGCAAUAGGCGAAAGCCUGACAGGGUUACUCUGAGUGAUUUCCGCUAAGGGGAUCUUUUGGCACCUCUAAAAAUGGUGCAGAAUAAGGGGUGGGCAAGUCUGGUGUCAGCCGCCGCGGUAAUACCAGCACCCCGAGUGGUCGGGACGAUUAUUGGGCCUAAAGCAUCCGUAGCCGGUUCUGCAAGUCUUCCGUUAAAUCCAGCCGCUCAACGGAUGGGCCGCGGAGGAUACUACAGGACUAGGAGGCGGGAGAGGCAAGCAGUACUCAGUGGGUAGGGGUAAAAUCCUUUGAUCCAUUGAAGACCACCAGUGGCGAAGGCGGCUUGCCAGAACGCGCUCGACGGUGAGGGAUGAAAGCUGGGGGAGCAAACCGGAUUAGAUACCCGGGUAGUCCCAGCUGUAAACGAUGCAGACUCGGUGAUGGGCUAGCCUUGUGCCAGCCCAGUGCCGCAGGGAAGCCGUUAAGUCUGCCGCCUGGGGAGUACGGUCGCAAGACUGAAACUUAAAGGAAUUGGCGGGGAGCA
rnacentral:rRNA from 1 species